AUCGACUUGGUGAGUCAGAGUAUAAAUGAGAUUAUUGGAGUUUUGUUAUGCUAUUGUAUAAAACUAUGAAGCAGCUCCAGGUUCCACACUAGUGAAAUAGCAAGAUUGUGAAAAAUCAGCUUAUAUAAAUGUUUCAGUUGAUUUCAAAUGAUGUUACUCUUAACUCGUUUUAAAUAAAUGGGUGUAUGUGAAAUAACGAAGCAAUUUGGGAAUGCAAAAUCUAAUAUGUACGUAUUAGUUGUUGAUGGAUCUCUUUAUAUUUUUAUAUGGAAACACUAGUAGUCAUGGUUUUAAUAGAAAAGCAGUCUAGAGAGAUAUGUUGGAAUUCGAUACUUUGCAUCAAAGUGUUCUAUUUAUUUAUUUAUGUUGCGUCUGUCAAGUCAAAGCACUUGAAAUGACUGUUGUUGUAAAAAAAAGGAAUCCCGAAGAAAAAUUAUAUGUUUUUGAAUUAAUUCAUUUCUAUAUUUAUUUUUAAGAGCUAUUUUUGAGUUUUGAAUCCUCUAGCCAAAAAGUAGUAACUACAGUCUACACGCUCUCUUACCUUGGCCGACGGGGUAUGUACAAUACCAACUCGAACGGUUCCCCACAUGGUUCUCCAAUGUGGGAUACUUGGAAUGGUAUUCAGUAACGAUCUAAAAGUCGCAAUUCUAAUAUUCCACCCCCACUUUGUCUCAUUGGGGUCCAAGUUUUUGGAUGGGAAUAAAAAGCGAAACGAGCUGUAACGCUUAGCGUUAGUGAAAAUAGCGAUUACCACUAGCAAUCCUAAGAAAAAAACAUCCAUCUAAACUUCGUCAAUAGCAAUGGUUGAGCAGUUAGAAAAAGUUAUCAAAAACUUUCUUACCUAUAAAAAUUAUUUUCUUGUCGCUUGUCAACAUCUCUAUUCAUUUAUUCACUCCCGAUACAUGCAUAUGCAUUGCCGUAACGCACAUGCAAGAGAUGAAGCUACUUCAGUCAACGUUCAUUGAGUAAAUAUUUGCAUAGCUAAGCAAUUCUUUUCUGUAUCUAUUGUAGUACUAUGUUUGACUGAGAAAUCCGCUACCGCGGAAGUUCUCCUAAAUUUUGAUCUUUACUGAUAUCAUUAGCUCGAUCGAUCGGAGCAACUACCCUUUUUUACCUGAUCAAGACAAGCAAAUUCUCGAAAUUCGGCUUGUUAUCUAUUUAAAAUUUCAAAAAAAAAAAAAAAAAAGAAAAAAAACUUAUGAGAGAUAAAAUUUGUAGCACAAAGUAUGGUAACCAAGAACCAAAGAUGCGUUUAUUGAUAGUAACAGUAAAUAGCACUUCACUUGCAAGGCCAACAAUACAAGACACUAUGGUAAUGUAGAUCAGUACGUUUUCAAAGCAUAAAAUGUACAAAUUGUUUGUUGGUAGGAAAUCAAUACUUAUUCAUACCCAUCUCGUUUCUCUCAUUGUUGAAAGGAUAUAAUAUC